GACGAACGCUGGCGGCGUGCUUAACACAUGCAAGUCGAACGGGUCUGCCCUGUUUUUUGCGGGGUGGGUCAGUGGCGAACGGGUGAGUAACACGUGAGUAACCUGCCCCUCACUUCUGGAUAACCGCUUGAAAGGGUGGCUAAUACGGGGUGUUCUGGCUGUGCCGCAUGGUGUGGCUGGGAAAGAUUCACUUUUGUGGUGUUUUGGUGGGGGAUGGGCUCGCGGCCUAUCAGCUUGUUGGGGGGGUGAUGGCCUGCCAAGGCUUUGACGGGUAGCCGGCCUGGGAGGGUGGGCGGUCACACUGGGACUGAGAUACGGCCCAGACUCCUGCGGGAGGCAGCAGUGGGGGGUAUUGCACAAUGGGCGGAAGCCUGAUGCAGCGACGUCGCGGGAGGGAUGGAGGCCUUCGGGUUGUGAACCUCUUUCGCCGGUGAAGAAGGUCCUGCUCUUUGUGGUGGGGUUGACGGUAGCCGGGUUAUGAAGCGCCGGCUAACUACGUG
rnacentral:rRNA from 1 species